UACGGAGGGUGCAAGCGUUAAUCGGAAUUACUGGGCGUAAAGCGCACGCAGGCGGUCUGUCAAGUCGGAUGUGAAACCCCCGGGCUCAACCUGGGAACUGCAUUCGAAACUGGCAGGCUAGAGUCUUGUAGAGGGGGGUAGAAUUCCAGGUGUAGCGGUGAAAUGCGUAGAGAUCUGGAGGAAUACCGGUGGCGAAGGCGGCCCCCUGGACAAAGACUGACGCUCAGGUGCGAAAGCGUGGGGAGCAAACAGGAUUAGAUACCCUGGUAGUCCACGCCGUAAACGAUGUCUAUUUGAAGGUUGUUCCCUUGAGGAGUGGCUUUCGGAGCUAACGCGUUAAGCAUCCCACCUGGGGAGUACGCCGGCAACGGUGAA
rnacentral:rRNA from 1 species